rnacentral:lncRNA from 1 species
GCUGACCCCGAAGUCAUAGCGCCUUUUCUCUUGUGGGUCUUGAGACCCUGGACUAACCUCCAAGCCACGCCUGUGUCCAUGUCUGCAAUAAAAGAAGAUCGACACGGCUCAAAAAUAGAAUAAGAGAAAGGGGAAGCAGCGAAAAAAAAAUAUAAUAAUAAUAGUACUGACAGGGUUAAGAGGGCUCAGACUGACAUUGAAUAAGAGUUGUUCCUUCAGAAGGUCAGAGAGGAGGGGAG